rnacentral:rRNA from 1 species
AGAGUUUGAUCCUGGCUCAGAACGAACGCUGGCGGCAUGCCUAACACAUGCAAGUCGAACGCUCUUGGGGCUUCGGUUCCAAGGGAGUGGCGCACGGGUGAGUAGCGCGUGGGAACCUGCCCUGUUGUGGGGGAUAACCGAGGGAAACUUCGGCUAAUACCGCAUACGCCCGGCGGACCUCGAAAGGGGGAAACCGGGGAAAGAUUUAUCGCAGCAGGAGGGGCCCGCGUCGGAUUAGCUAGUUGGUGGGGUAACGGCCUACCAAGGCUUUGAUCCGUAGCUGGUCUGAGAGGAUGAUCAGCCACACUGGGACUGAGACACGGCCCAGACUCCUACGGGAGGCAGCAGUGGGGAAUAUUGGACAAUGGGCGCAAGCCUGAUCCAGCAAUGCCGCGUGAGUGAUGAAGGCCUUCGGGUUGUAAAGCUCUUUCGCCUGCGAGG